rnacentral:tRNA from 1 species
GCGCCCAUAGCUCAGCUGGAUAGAGCGACAGCCUCCGGAGCUGUAGGUCGUAGGUUCGAAUCCUACUGGGCGCACCA